rnacentral:sRNA from 12 species
GGGCGCCAGCAGUAUGACGGUCAAGGCCCUCAUGCCCGUGCGCACAGUGAAUCUGGUCGCGCCGCUGGGCCACAAGCCCACCGACAGGCACACAACGGAUACGGCCGCGCCUGCGCGCGGCGCGUCCGGUGCAGCCGCCCCGCUGAUCGGUCAUCGCCAUCAUGGUGAUGGCCUUCGGCAGGGCGGCCUACAU